GUAUCAAUUCAUUAUCUUUCUGAUCAUGUCUGCCAGAAUUAGUGGAUGAACUAAGGAGUUCACAAGUAGUUUUUUCUUUGUGAUUGGUAGAUGCCACUACCCCUCUAAACUCCUGACCUUCAUACAAGUCAACAUCAGUCUUUUUAGUGAUCAUAAAACGGUGAGUUGUCUGACAGAACUUUGGAGGACCCUUGAGCGCCUGUCCAACAGAGUCUACAGUGGUACAUAUUCUCAUAGUUUCCACGUCAUGGACAGAAAAUGGGAGUCUCUGCAUUGAGUAACCUCCAUGGUACAAGUAUUCUGGUAAGGUAGUGCCUGCAUGGUUGCUCUGGCUUUGAAAGGGUAAGGUAUCAGAACUAUUUUUCCUAGUAUCACAUUGUGUAGGGUAUGGAUUAGGUUGGUCAAGAUUGUUUG
rnacentral:misc_RNA from 1 species